GAUGAACGCUAGCUACAGGCUUAACACAUGCAAGUCGGGGGGCAGCAUGGUCUUAGCUUGCUAAGGCCGAUGGCGACCGGCGCACGGGUGAGUAACACGUAUCCAACCUGCCGUCUACUCUUGGACAGCCUUCUGAAAGGAAGAUUAAUACAAGAUGGCAUCAUGAGUUCACAUGUUCACAUGAUUAAAGGUAUUCCGGUAGACGAUGGGGAUGCGUUCCAUUAGAUAGUAGGCGGGGUAACGGCCCACCUAGUCUUCGAUGGAUAGGGGUUCUGAGAGGAAGGUCCCCCCGCAUUGGAACUGAGACACGGGUCCAAACUCCUACGGGAGGCAGCAGUGAGGAAUAUUGGGCAAUGGGGGGAACCCUGACCGAGCAACGCCGCGUGAGUGAAGAAGGUUUUCGGAUCGUAAAGCUCUGUUGUUAGAGAAGAACGUGUGUGAGAGU
rnacentral:rRNA from 1 species